AGUGAGAUGGCUGAGCCAGGCAAUAAACUGUAAAUUUAUUUACGAAAUAUUAAUUUCUCUCACUA
rnacentral:tRNA from 1 species